UUGUCUGAGCAACCAGGAAAGCCCCCCCCCUUUGAUCACCAGAUAUCGCCUAUUCUUCUCUAUACUGCUUGCAUUAGAGUAGUGUAGCAUGUUACUGUUUGAUUACUCCUAUUCUGUUGCAUAGCCUGUCAUUGUUGCUACAAUCAUUGAUACCUUACCCGCAGUCCUAAAUGCUUAGUAUAGGAUACUAGUUUAUCAUCAUUGGCCCUACAUUCAUGUCAGUCUGCCUUGCUAUACUAUUGGGCCGUGAUCACUCGGGAGGUGAUCACGGGUAUAUACUAUACAUACAUACAUACUAUACAGAUGGUGACUAAAGUCGGGUCAGCUCGAGGAGUACCCGCAAGUGAUUCUGAUGAGGGGGCUGAAAGGACAGGUGGCUCCAUCUCGGUAGAGGUGGGCCUGGGUUCCCGACGGCCCCCGACUGUUACUUUGUGGCGGAGCGACAGGGCAGGUUGAGACCACCUAGGAGACAGGUGGGCCUGGCCCUGUUGGGCGUUCGCGGAUACUUAACACGCUUAACGAGAUCUGGGUAUUUGAUCUGAGUCUGGCCAUUUGGUCUAUACGCACUAACCAUCUACGCGGGAGUAGUUAUGGGUAUCCCGGCGUCGUGGUAUUAGCCGAAGCCUUCUUGACGUCAGCGACGGAGCGGCGCGCGCUGGAUUGGACUGCGUUAACGCAACUUCCUUUGUAAUGGAGGUUGCUAGGUCUGCUUUCGGUCGCCCUCGCAACGUGCAGGUGUGCAAUGGGCGAUGGGCCCGGACCCCUGCGCGCAUAGGAUUUAGACCGACGGGCUGACCUCUCUGUUGUGCCUAGGUGGGGCUGCGGCGUGUUGAUCUUCCGAGGCCAGGCAUGACCCAGGAAAGUGUGUCCGGCCAAAUGGGAUCGAGCGUGUUGGGUUAUGUGGUGCACCCCUGCAGGGAAGUUUAUCUAUUCGAAUAGCCGUGUCCCUCGGUAAAAGGACGACCCGGAGUUGUACCUUGACCUUAUGACAACUAGAACCGGAUACUUAAUAAAACACACCCUUCCAAGUGCCAGAUACAACCCGGUGAUCGCUCUCUAAUAGGGCGACGAGGAGAGGAUUGCCGGGUAGGAUUAUGCUAUGCGAUGCUACUGGAGAUGCUACAUGGAGAUGCUACUUGGAGGACUUGAUUCUACUCUCUUCUACAUGCUGCAAGACAGAGGCUGCCAGAAGCGUAGUCUUCGACAGGAUUAGCUAUCCCCCUCUUAUUCUGGCAAGUCCACUGAUAUGGCCCUUUACACAUAUACCCAUGCAUAUGUAGUGUAGCUCCUUGCUUGCGAGUACUUUGGAUGAGUACUCACGGUUGCUUUCUCCCCCCUUUUCCCCCUUUCCUUUCUUUCUGGUUGUCGCAACCAGAUGCUGGAGCCCAGGAGCCGGACGCCAUCGUCGACGACGACUACUACAUUGGAGGUGCCUACAACUACGUGCAUGCUGCUGACGACGACCAGGAGUAGUUUAGGAGGAUCCCAGGCAGGAGGCAUGCGCCUCUUUCGAUCUGUAUCCCAGUUUGUGCUAGCCUUCUUAAGGCAAACUUGUUUAACUUAUGUCUGUACUCAGAUAUUGUUGCUUCCGCUGACUCGUCUAUGAUCAAGCACUUGUAUUCGAGCCCUCGAGGCCCCUGGCAUGUAUUAUGAUGCUUGUAUGACUUAUUUAUGUUUUUAGAGUUGUGUUGUGAUAUCUUCCCGUGAGUCCCUGAGCUUGAUCGUACACGUUUGCGUGCAUGAUUAGUGUAUGAUUGAAUCGGGGGCGUCACAAGUUGGUAUCAGAGCCGACUACCUGUAGGAAUCCCCCUUUCCAACUCCUUGGCCGAAGUUGAGUCUAGUCGAUGAAAAUUGUUUUACUAACUUGGUUGUGCGGCCCAUGGGCCCAUGUUGCCAUUGGGUGGUAUUAGGAUCUUUUACUCCUUAUCUAUACUCUGGGACUCUGAUCUCUCUUCUAUUCGGGUUAAAUGAAUUUUGCUAAAUCUAACAUUAGGAUCUCGUUAUCACUUUCACCCAGAGAUCCCUUAUUACUGAUGAUCGUCUGCUGCACGUGAAGACCCUGAAGAUACUCUCCGCUGUUAACCCGAGAACUUGUGUUCAUCGCGUUUGCAAUUCCCCUUCCACCGUCAACCCUUAUGGACAACUACUUACAGUUGUUAUUCUUAUAUUCAUUCCCAGUUGGUCUUGUUAUUACAAGAUACCCCGAAACACUCGUCGUUGUUUUGAUAAUCCUUUAAGCUUACUACCUUGCUGUUCUUUGUCACCUGAAUACCCAUACGGAUAAUUCUCGCAUUUAUCGAGUAUCCCCUCAUCCCCCAGUUGUUCAUGUGUUUCACAAUGGUCUUCGAAAUAUUAUUCGAUCCUCCAAAAAUCCUUAGUAACUUAUUGCUCUGCAAUACUUGACUACUUGCAUGAUGGAUGCUUUCCAUAUGUCUGGCAAUAUUCGUUAGUAUUCUUAGGCACCGUCAUUUUGAUCCUUUUGAUUCAACAUGAGUGCGAAUGCAUGCAAUCAUCAGUUGAUCCUUUUAAAUUAUCCUUCCGGCUCAGACGUCAUUUUAAACAUGAGCUGGUUCUCAACCAAUCCAAUUGCCAUCGAUUGUACCCCUAAGGCUAUUCUACUUACCCACCCCUAAUCAGAACAUUGCUUCUGAUCCCUUGAUUUGAAAAUCUUAAUUCCUUUGCAUUGAGCUCUGGAUUAGUCAGUUGUUUCUAUAAUCCACUGCCCUUGCAUUGUUACUUCCUCUGGUUGUGUGCCGAUGCUCACAUCAGCUCUGUUAUGGACCGGCAGAUCCUUUAAUGGAUUUUAUCCGACAUCGCCCUUCAUGUUCAAUAACCUUGCGAGCCUUCCCUCGGAUACAUAAUGCCUUUGUUAAAUUGUAUCAUCUACUUUCUCAACCUUGCUCUACAUUCGAGCUUGUGAUAUUUACUCUUGAAACUUGUGGUAUAUGUUUCUAAGAAGCCCCUAUGGGUUGAACAUAUUCCUUCUCUAAACCAUGUGAACCCAAAAGUUUUCAUGAGUCAUACUCUUCUGGUGCUUCGCCAGAUAAAAUUUCAACACUGCAACUUCUUCGAAGACGGGAAGUGAAUGAAAGGUUAUGCAUUGAAGAAGUGGGAGUCGACCUUGAACUUUGUGUUCAUGCCCAUGGACAUGAUGUAGAUCCUAUCAUGGAAACUUCUUGUAAUAAUAAAUAUUUCCUUGAUAAAUAUCAUCUGGUAGCUGUGAAUUGAUCCUUUGCAACCGUGGUUCCGACCAUGUUUGUUCUCCUUUGAUUUUAUUUCUCGGACAAGUUAAAUUACUUGCCUUCUGCAGAUCAGUACGCCUUCCCAACCUCUAUUUUGUUCUACCUUCGAGUAUUACCCCCUGGUAUCUCGAGAAUAUCCACCCAUCGCACUUCAUCUAUGAAAUUCUGACGAAGUAGUACCUUUUCCCAUCAUAGUCACUCCACGGGUUUUGGGUUGUCGUCAACCGAGAACACCAAUUGGUGAAUCAAAUCAAUACUGAGAUUCAUUACUCUCAGUACUUUGUUGUUGAGAAGUUUAAUACUCCAUCACGUCAUUCUGAGCCUGAUCGGCUACAUCAUUAUCAUGCUAAUUUAAACUGUGCUACCUGGUCCUUCCGGAGCAAAAGUUUUGAUGUUGAGCUAAGCUUACAACGAUCUUCCUCGGCAUAUCAUUUCGCCUUGGACAACAAGCUUGAUUUCAAGUUUGUACUGUACUAGUGGUUUCAAUAACCUUUCGCUCCAUCAUUCAUUUGACUUGAUGUCAUCGCCAAUCGAUUACAUCUUCAUGAAAUCUCGCGACAAAGGUGUCGUGAUCAUCAUCAGCAUUUAGAGCUCUUCCAGGAUAUCAAUUGAGUUCAUGAUGAGAAAUACUAUCCUUGCUCUCGAUGAUCUACGUUAUCAUCGACCACUUUAUUGCCUUCCCACCAACACAAGCUUGUUCGUGUUUGAUGUUAUACCUUGAGUUCCUUGCUAUCUAGCAAUUGUUCUCCCUUACCUUGGAACAUUAACAUCUCUUAUGUCAUGAAUGUCGUGGGAAUUUCACCACCUCUUAAGAAUUCUUGGUAUAGUGAUACCUCUCACCAUCACCAUUCUUUCAUGCUCCUCGUGUUGAUUCCAACCGGGGUACCAACAAGUGAACGGUGCUGUUUGGAUCCUGCACUUCUAGCAACCCUAUUACUUUGAAGUUAAUGGUCGGCCGUUCAUUCUUAGUCUUGAUUAUUGAAUCACCAUUCUGACGUUGGUUGUGCAACCCAACCCAUAUUUCGGGUGCACCUUUCAACUAAUGUUUAAUUGUGUAUGUUUUCCUCAAGCAUACAUCAUUAUACCAUUUGAUCUGACAAAUGUUAUCUCCUUGUUCACAUAAUUGUGGAAAUCCAUCUUUUGUUAAUCUCAAUGAAUUGUCGCUGAUUCCACCAGCCACCUCCUCAUCCUCUCAUUGGUUUACCAAUGAACUCUUGUUUCGGAACUGGCUUCCAUGGUUCAUCUCCCGAGAAUCUUCGAUGUCAUCUCGUCAAUUUGUAUCGCACCUUUUCUCCUCAAGCAUCGUGAGCUUGAGGUAUCAUGACACCAAUCAGAUCUGAAUCUCGGUCAGAUAUGAUGGUAGGGACAACUUUCCAGGAGUUAUGAUGUUGGUCCUUUGAUGACCCGGUAAUAUGAUGUCAUGCCUAGCACCCCCCUGGCUGGAGGACCUAUCAUUACAAUUUCUUUUGCAAGGAUAUCCAUUCUUCCUGGAGGUAAUUGUAAGACUUAUUGUAUACGUUGUUCCUGAUAUGGAUCCGUUGUGACUUGAAAAGUCUGAUCUUUACCCAAUGACCAUGUCAAUGCUAUCUCGAAGCAUGUCUGUGGUACUCCGAUCUUCAAUAAGAACAUUUGAAGCUCAAUACUAAAUUUUCUUGGUCAGUUAUCCAAACACCGUUGUAUGGGUAACCUCUUGAUUAUUCCUUGCCUCUUAUCUGAAUGGUUGGGUACUUGCUCUCCUACCCUGUAUGCCAUGUUCUGCUUGUACAUGGGAAGGAUAUACUCCUAACAAUUGUGUGUAAUCACAAUUUUCCUUUCCAUUGUUUUGUUUAAUCUGAUAAUCGCGUUUUCCUUUCCAUUCUUUUGUUUAAUCUUUCCUGAAUCUGACUUAACUAAGCAGCGAUAAUUCCCUGCCUAGGUAGGCAUCUUGUUGUACCACUCUGUCUAUAAGAUCCUGUUACUAUUGUUGAUGACAUUCCGGUAACCACCGAUGGACGAGAACUUUGCCUAUUGGUCCGCCUCGUUCAACGAGCAGGAAAAUGGUUCUCUUCGUCCCUCGCCCUUGGUAUCGCUGUUGUUGCCGACAUAACUAACAGGCUACCCUCUGACAUACCUUGCUUGUAUGAUCACGCAAGACGUCUCCGCCCUUCCUACUUAAAAACCACAUGGUGGGCCCAUAACCCACAGUUCCACAGGAUCGGAACCUAACUGUCCUGUACACCCCCUAUUCCCAAAGUUAUUCCUCGCGCGUGACCUCGUAUGUAAUUCACGGGCCACCGUCCUAGUGAUCUAUUCUGAUAUCAGACACAAUACUUACUCUCGCUACUCUGAACCCUUUCUCACUCUGGUUCAGACUUCGAGCAACUAUCUAUCCGCUUGGAACCUCUUAUUGUACCUUUGUACCUUACUCUCGAUGUAUUUCAUAUUUUCAACUUGAGAGAUAAUCUUAUACUCAUUCAUGGGUUAACCCCAGAUCGUUUCCCUCAAAAGCAUUAUGUCGUAGUGAGUUGCCCCUUAUCCUUUCGUAAGUAUGAUGGAGAUCCCGAACAAAGGAUGACGACUUGAUCAUGGUGACUUGAAGCAGAGAAAUGAAGACAUCAACGAAAGGGAUCAACCUCUUCGAGAAGAGCAACCAAGAUCGAGAAGACGCGUUAAAAUUUCGUAACCAGAAUUUUCCCCUUAGUCCCCCUCUUAAAUCUCGGGACGAGAUUUCUUGUAGAGGAGGAGAAUUGUGACGCCCGGACGCUAAUGAUGCCACGUCACCUCGAUUACUGUUGUUAAUCUCACAAACGAUUCAAAUUCAAAUUUAAAAUCAACUCAAACAAUUAAAGUUUUCAAAAGUAAAAACUAAAAUGUUCUUAAUGUGACAAAUAAAUCAUGCAUAUUAUUGGUGGAAUAACAACAUCUUUAUAAAAUAAUUAAAUACCCUAAAGUGAUUAAAACAAAAUCAAAACAAUUAGUUAUACUCCUAAUAUAUUUUACCAAAUACUAAAGUGUUUUUAUUCUGAGGUAAAACUUCUUAGAACAGUGGAUUAUUUUAACACACUAUUUUUGGAGCUAUUGUCAUAUUUUACUAAACCAAAAAUAAAGUGUAACUAAAAUAAAACUGAAAAGAAUAAUAAAAAAACAUCAAAAGGAAAUAAAAGCCCCCCCUCGCUGGGCCUCGGCCCAGCAGGCCAUCGGGCCGCCAGGCCGGCCCAGCCGCGCCCCACACCCUCCCCCAUAUCCACUCCACUGGGGGAAAACCGUAACCGCCCACCCCACUUUCCCCAGUCCUCCCUCUGCUUCCCCCGAUCCAGAUCGGAUCGGGCGUCGACGCCCCUUGCUGCUCGCCCGACGCCACGCCUUGGCGGACCGCCUUCGCCGGAGCCGCCCACCGGGCCGCUCCGUCCUCAUCCCCCUCCCCGAUCCAGAACUGGUUCGGGGCACGACCUCGGCGCUGCACCGAACCGCGAUGCCCGCCGCUCGACCCCGGACCGCUCCCUCGCUGGACCUCCUCCUCUACGUCACCGUCGUCCCCGUCCUCCUCCCCAAAGGCUCCACCGAGCCUCGCCGACCCUCUUCUCUUCAACACCGGUGAGGGCCUUGCCCUCCCCUUCCCUUCCUCUGCUCCGUGCCGGCUGCGCCGCUUUCUGCACCGUCCUGCGCCCACCACGGCCAUCGCAACCAUUCGCCACCGCCCGUGCUGCUCCCGCUCCACGCCUCGCCGCACUGGCCGCGCCCCAGAUGCGCCCCCGAUCCCCGGCCUCCUGCAGCUCUCACCAGCACAGACCCCCCCGCUCGCGCGACCGCGGCUCGCGCCGUCCAGCCAUCGCCCUGGCUCCCCGUGCCAAACCCUGUCGCCACAGCCCCUGCUGCAUCUGCCGCGCGCGCGGCCUGCUGUGCGCGCCCGCGCGCAAUCCCCCCUGCGCUGUAGUUGGUAGCCGCCCCCUCACCUCGCUGACCUGCUCCGGUCGGCUGCGGCUACCCUUCCGUGGCCGCCGGCCAGCCCGCACUUGCCCGAGUCCAGUUGCCCGCGCCCCGCCACUGGCGCCAGCGUGCGUCAUGCGCGCCCUCUCGGGCACGCGCUUGUUCGGGUUACACCCGCACCCAGCGCCCGUUAGGCCCGUGUGAGCAAAUGACAAGUGGGCCCAUCCCCUAAAACGUUUUAAAAAGAAUUAAAAACUAAAUAAAUAAAGUAAAUAAUAAUUAAAAUGUUAAUUAAAUAAUUAAUUAACUAAAUGAUUAAUUAACUUAAUUAAUUCUGAUUAGAUUAACCUAAUCACUAGUUAACUUAAUUAAAACCUUGAUUAGCAUGAAUAAUCAAUGACAUAGGGACCCCACCCGCCAGCUUGACUUAGUCAACACCUCUGUUGACUGAUGACGUCAUGCUGACAUCAUGCUGAUGCAUUAAUGCCAUAUUUGAAUUAAAUUAAUAAUAAUAAUUUAGAAAAUGUUUUAAAACUUUAAAAAUUAAUAUAAAAUAAACCGUAGCUCGGAUGGAAAAACUUUGUACAUGAAAGUUGCUCAAAGCGAUGAGGCGAAUCCAGAUACGCAGCCCGUUCGUCCGCCACGCUUCCCUACCAUAGUGAACCUGCAACAUUUCCCCUCCGGUUCAUCUGUCCGAAAACACGGAACACCGUGGAUACUUUCCCGGAUGUUUCCCCCCUUCACCGGUAUCACCUCAUACCGCGUUAGAACACGUCUAGCUCUGCUUGUUGUCCUGUUAUGCACUUGCUUGCUAUGUAUUUACUGUUUCUCCCCCCUCUUCUCUCUGAUAGACCCCGUGACGGUGCUGAUGCCCCUGUGGUCGACUACGUCACCGACGACCCCUCCUUGUCUGAGCAACCAGGCAAGCCCCCCCCUUUGAUCACCAGAUAUCGCCUAUUCUUCUCUAUACUGCUUGCAUUAGAGUAGUGUAGCAUGUUACUGUUUGAUUACUCCUAUUCUGUUGCAUAGCCUGUCAUUGUUGCUACAAUCAUUGAUACCUUACCCGCAGUCCUAAAUGCUUAGUAUAGGAUGCUAGUUUAUCAUCAUUGGCCCUACAUUCGUGUCAGUCUGCCUUGCUAUACUAUUGGGCCGUGAUCACUCGGGAGGUGAUCACGGGUAUAUACUAUACAUACAUACAUACUAUACAGAUGGUGACUAAAGUCGGGUCAGCUCGAGGAGUACCCGCAAGUGAUUCUGAUGAGGGGGCUGAAAGGACAGGUAGCUCCAUCCCGGUAGAGGUGGGCCUGGGUUCCCGACGGCCCCCGACUGUUACUUUGUGGCGGAGCGACAGGGCAGGUUGAGACCACCUAGGAGACAGGUGGGCCUGGCCCUGUUGGGCGUUCGCGGAUACUUAACACGCUUAACGAGAUCUAGGUAUUUGAUCUGAGUCUGGCCAUUUGGUCUAUACGCACUAACCAUCUACG
rnacentral:lncRNA from 1 species